ensembl:rRNA 5S_rRNA 5S ribosomal RNA
CCCUACCACCAUACUACCAUGACAACCCCUGAUCAUCGGAAGAUAAGCAGGGUCAGGCCUGGUUAGUACUUGGAUGGGAGCCCUUUGGUAACUUCUAAACUGCAGGUU